AAUAGAUACCCCGGUAGUCCACGCCGUAAACGAUGGAUGCUAGCUGCUAGGAGUAUCGACCCUCCUAGUAGCGUAGCUAACGCGUUAAGCAUCCCGCCUGUGGAGUACGGUCGCAAGACUAAAACAUAAAGGAAUUGACGGGGACCCGCACAAGCGGUGGAGCGUGUUGUUUAAUUCGAUGGUAAGCGAAGAACCUUACCCAGGCUUGACAUCCUGCUAAUCACUCCGAAAGGAGAGAGUGCCUUCGGGCCGCAGUGACAGGUGUUGCAUGGCCGUCGUCAGUUCGUGUCGUGAGAUGUUUGGUUAAGUCCAUCAACGAGCGCAACCCUUAUAGUUAGUUGUAUUUCUCUAGCUAGACUGCCCUGGCAACAGGGAGGAAGGAGGGGAUGAUGUCAGGUCAGUAUUACCCUUACGCCUGGGGCUACAAACACGCUACAAUGGCCGGUACAAAGGGCAGCCAACCCGCGAGGGGAGCAAAUCCCAUCAAAACCGGUCUCAGUUCGGAUAGCAGGCUGAAACUCGCCUGCUUGAAG
rnacentral:rRNA from 1 species